rnacentral:misc_RNA from 1 species
UUUUAGCCUCGAUUGAGCGGUAUGUCUGAGCUCUUUUCGGUUUUCGGCGGCGGCAAUGCCGCCGCCGAAAACCGAAAAAGCGAGUAGCGAAAGCGAGAAAUAGC